AGCCGUCCCCGUGCUCGAAUUAACCCUUCCGAAUCUAAGUACGGAGUUAAUGAGAGGAGAGGACUUGUUUUUGGGAUUGGUUUGGAUGACCUUAAGGCUCUCCUCUCCUCUGGAAAGGCCUCUUGUUGCAACCUUUUUAACCAGUACAAUUUGGCUUGCUUAACUAAAUUUGGAGUCAGAAUUAUUGAUGAAGCAGAUGCCUUAAUACAUCUCGUGGGAAGGUUUUGGUCAGGUUGACUUUUAAUUCUUACGCGAAGGGUUUGGAUGAAGCGAAGUAGCCAUGCUCUGGAGGCUCGACUGUUUUUCUUCAAGCGACGUGUUUGGAGACGAUAAGUUCCUGUCGGUGGGCCACGAGGACGUUUUUAGCCAUUGCGGACCAGACCACCAUAACAGGAGUCAGGAUCGUAGGAGUGAAAACGUCCUCAAGUUCCCAGAACCGGCGUAGAUCCUGGUCGAG